ensembl:rRNA 5S_rRNA 5S ribosomal RNA
AUCUGAGGCCACGCUGCCCUGAAGGCGCCCGAUCUCGUCUGGUCUGGGAAGCUAAGCAGGGUCGGGCCCGGUCGGGACCUGGAUGGGAGACCACCAGGGAAGCAUACCAUACCAUACC